rnacentral:rRNA from 1 species
GAUGAACGCUAGCGGCAGGCUUAAUACAUGCAAGUCGAGGGGCAACAGGGGUAGCAAUACCUGCUGGCGACCGGCAAACGGGUGCGGAACACGUACAGAACCUUCCUUUAAGUUGGAGAUAGCCCGGAGAAAUCCGGAUUAAUACCUAAUAGUAUUAUGGUGUGGCAUCACAUUAUAAUUAAAGCCUUGGCGCUUAGAGAUGGCUGUGCGUAUGAUUAGGUAGUUGGGCGGGUAACGGCCCACCAAGCCUUCGAUCAUUAACUGGUGUGAGAGCACGACCAGUCACACGGGCACUGAGACACGGGCCCGACUCCUACGGGAGGCAGCAGUAAGGAAUAUUGGUCAAUGGACGCAAGUCUGAACCAGCCAUGCCGCGUGAAGGNUGAAGGUCCUCUGGAUUGUAAACUUCUUUUAUGUGGGAAGAACCCGGAUUCUUUUCGGUGACGUACAUAGGAAUAAGCACCGGCUAACUCCGU